rnacentral:rRNA from 1 species
GAUGAACGCUGGCGGCGUGCCUAAUACAUGCAAGUCGAGCGAAUGGAUUAAGAGCUUGCUCUUAUGAAGUUAGCGGCGGACGGGUGAGUAACACGUGGGUAACCUGCCCAUAAGACUGGGACAACUCCGGGAAACCGGGGCUAAUACCGGAUAACAUUUUGAACCGCAUGGUUCGAAGUUGAAAGGCGGCUUCGGCUGUCACUUAUGGAUGGACCCGCGUCGCAUUAGCUAGUUGGUGAGGUAACGGCUCACCAAGGCAACGAUGCGUAGCCGACCUGAGAGGGUCAGCGGCCACACUGGGACUGAGACACGGCCCAGACUCCUACGGGAGGCAGCAGUAGGGAAUCUUCCGCAAUGGACGAAAGUCUGACGGAGCAACGCCGCGUGAGUGAUGAAGGCUGUCGGGUCGUAAAACUCUGUUGUUAGGGAAGAACAAGUGCUAGUUGAAUAAGCUGGCACCUCGACGGUACCUAACCAGAAAGCCACGGCUAACUACGUGCCAGCAGCCGCCGUAA